rnacentral:rRNA from 1 species
GUCCAUGCCGUAAACGUUGGGAACUAGAUGUGGGGACCAUUCCACGGUCUCCGUGUCGCAGCUAACGCAUUAAGUUCCCCGCCUGGGGAGUACGGCCGCAAGGCUAAAACUCAAAGGAAUUGACGGGGGCCCGCACAAGCGGCGGAGCAUGCGGAUUAAUUCGAUGCAACGCGAAGAACCUUACCAAGGCUUGACAUAUACCGGAAACGGCCAGAGAUGGUCGCCCCGCAAGGUCGGUAUACAGGUGGUGCAUGGUUGUCGU